CUCUCCAUGAGCACGACUACCUGUAAAACAUUUACAGAGAGUAAAACGUUUUACAAUUCAUGUUGUCAGCAUUUCUUUUCAAAUGUUUA